UUUCCGGUGCUUCUAGUUUCAAGUUUACAAAAGGGUAUUUUUCACACUGAUACUCACUUAGGCAGUUUUGUUUAAAGUAAUUGGUGACAUAAUUGCAGGUAUUUUUGAAUGAAAAUGCCCACUGAGUUUUAUAGUUUGUCCUCUUGUCUUCAAAACCGAUGGCUGUGCUCACUGCUACUUCAGAGGUGACACGUGUUCUGGUGCCUCUAGAAAGAUGUAGGAGCAGCAGGAAAAACAGUAAGGCUGUUCUAAUAGCCAUCAAAUGUAAAGCCAAUACUGACAUGGGACAGCAGGUUAAUUCCUCAAUAGAUUUUAAAAAAAAAUUAUUAUUAAAUCCAUUUGGAUUGGUCUACAUCUUGUUUCUGAGCUGGUUUUACUGUGGAACAUGUCCUGCACAGUGUCCUAAGGGAAACCUAAUACAUCCUAACAUUUUUCCUUCAGUAACAUGAAACUCUCACCCUUCUUAGACUUGAAGACAGGUUAAAAAAGGAUAAAGUAAGUUUUAUAAGAAAAUAUCCAAAUAUUGGAUAUGAAUUGGAUAUGAAUGCUCUUCCUUAUUCAAAGAAUAAAGUUUUGCUGUACUUCUGAUCAGUACGUAUAGGAUUCUGAAGAAAGAAAUAUUUUACAAGGCUGCUUUGUGAGAAAGUUGUACUGGAACAAAGAUGUGCAAUGGUAGGAAAUGCAGGGUGAGUCCUGGGAAUUGGUUUGGAUAAUACUGGUAGGAAAUACCUGGAAACUGGUAUUUUUUUAUUAUAAACCUAGGAAAGCAGAGGCUUCUACUUUCAUCAGUGCCUUUUCUCAUUACCAUAUGGGUUGCAUGUAAAGUAUCUGGAAUUCUUGGUGUCGAUACAUUAUAUAAAGGCUUCCUAUGUAGUUGCUGGGGAGAGAAACUGGGGCAGUUGGGUAUUUCUCAAGUAUAUUUUUGUUUCUGGAAGCUGUCAAAGGAGAUUUCACAACCUUCUCUUGAACCUUUGAACUAAAGAACACCCAUGUGUCACGUAAUCUGGUCUGGCCCAACAAGCAGGGUUUAAGGGGCACAGUCAGUCCUUGCUUCCUCUCCUCUUCUCUAAGCAUAGUACAGCAUGGUUGUCGUCACCUGCACAACACUGACUGCAACCCAGUAAUUGCAACAUACUCUGUAUUUGCCUGUGCUGAUGUGAUUUGUCAGGCUUUUUUCUGAAACACAUCACUUUUCAGUAAUAAAGCAAUUUGAACUGGGAAUCGCUUUGUAAGUCUCCUCUUGUGUGUGUUACUGGACUUACUGCACUCCUUAGAGAACUGUUGUCUCCUUCCCAUUCCCCAUUUCAAAGGCUACUCAGGAUGAGACACAGUGUCUGGAGUUACGUGCAGAAUCCCUGGUAUCUGUUGGUGGUCACAUGUAAUAUGAGGGUUGCAGUUUUCUGUUGUCUCUCUAAAAGCUGGGUUCUGUUUCAGUCUGUCUCCUCAGCUGCAAAGUUGUUUUUUUAAGUUUUUCUGGCAAUUGCGGGGAGGGAAAGAAUAAAGUUAAAAUUAGCUCAUAUUUUACGAGCUAUUUAAAGCUGUUGUUUAACCCUGUCCAGUCAACAUCAGUAAUUUAGUAUAGCAUUAUUCUAGGUUAUGUGGAUGCUCCAAAGACUUUGUUUUGCAGUAUGUCCUGAAGCUGCAAAUGCAGCUGCUAAUUUAAAUAGCUUUCUGAUCCUUCUUACACAAGAUGGGUAUGUCUGGGACAAUAAAAGCUUCCUGAAUUAUGAAAACUUCUUGAAAUUGGGUAACUAGAAGCUGUAGUAAAUUUAAUCCAGCUUUUUACAUUAGGUCAUCCUGUAGAGAAGUGUGUGAAAUUGCACUCACAUUAACUUCUGAAAAGCUAAGUGUGUUUAAUACUAGAGGCCAGUGAUGGGCCAAACAAUGCUUUCAGUGGUGUGUGUAUGUAAAUAUUCAUAAGAAUUAAAAGCAAACUUUCUGGAUUACUAAUGUCUCUGGAUACACCUGGGCUCACGGGCUGCGUUGUUGUACUGGCUCAAUGGGAUGACGGCAGCCUGGCUCAGAAGAGCGUAUGCGAAGCCUGUCUGAGUGGGUUGUGUAUUCUUUGAGUGCUGUCCAGAAAUGUUAAAAAUAACAUUAAUCAUGAGUAUGCAUGUUGGGUGUAUUUGAGAGAAGAAUGCCUGCAGCUGUUGGAGAACAAUAACAGCCAUAACAAAUAACACGCAAUUAACUCAAAAUAAGUGAAGUUCGGAUCAGUUUCACAAAAAGAUAAUGCUUAUCAUAAAGCUUACCUCAGCAGCUUCAACAUGAUGAUUCCACUGUAUGAUCUUUCACAAAACUCUGUUUUGGAAGAAAACGUAUGGUUGAUUUUUCUUGGGAAAAGCAGCUCAACUUCUUUAUAAAGCCAUUGCUUUUUGCAUGCUGUGUAUGUACUAAGGGAAGAGUAUUUUCACUGAAGGUUGUGCUGAACAUGGAACACUGUUCUUAAUAUAUCUUAUGUGAUUUUGGUACACAUUCAAGCUGUUUAUUCCUUAGAUUAUUUUGUCUCUGAAGCCCACAGACUGAAAUUGUAGCUAGAUUUAAAACAAGGUAGUACAAGGAGAGACCUUAAGAAGUGGCAUAGUAAUUCUAUUUAAAUCAAAAAGGCAGCUAUUUACAGACAGUGAUAAAAUGUCAGUCAGACUUUAUAGUAUUACCCUACACAACAUUAACUUGUUAUUUCCAUCAGUUAGAUUUUUGAAUUGAUGCCUGUAUGUUCAGACAUCAGAUCCAUUUGUGAGGGGAGGAGGACUUCUUCCAAUUUAAUGUGUAAGCUUUGGCAGAAAUAACUGUAUUAGAUUGUUGGCUUAUCUUUCAGCUUGCCUUUUCAAGUGUGUUUGGUCAUGUCUGUUCGAUUAAUCAUUACAAAGUAUAAAUCCUGAGGUGAUUGAGGAGUCUUCUGAAACACCACCAGCUGCUUUAGUCUGCAGUAUCUCCCGGUGGCUCUUGCUGCCUUGUGCAGAGGCAGUGCUGUGGCUAUACUGCUGUUUGGGUAGAUACUAGCUGUGGUGACUUGUCAGGAGCUUUCUGACAAGGGAUUGUCAGUAAUGGCUUGUGAGCUCCCCCUGUCCCACCUGAAGGUACUUGUCUCUGCUCACUGGGGUCAAGGCUUGCAUGUGGCUUUACCGGGUGGGCCUCCCUCUGUGGAGCUACGAGUGCAGCAUGUAACAGCACCAGGCUACUUGGGGCACGGUGUCUGUCAUUCUCCUGUUACUGUCUGUGCACUUGUGUUGGUGCUGGCUGCCAGGAAUGUGAAACCAAUACCUUUUGACCACUGAGGACUCUUAACAGGAGCACACCUUGUCCUGACUUUGAUUUUAAUCAGAUUUUAAACUUAUCUCCUGCCUGAUUCUCAUCAAGCUUUAUUUCUACUCACCUGACUAAUGUCAAAUAUAAGCAAAGUCUGAGAUAUCAUCUUGAGUGUUUGAUGUGCACAGAACUCGUUGGCUAAACACACAUGUAUGCCCUUGAGAAGAAAACACACAGAACUGUCUUUAUCUUAAAAGUCUGCUUAUCAUGAGUUGUUCACUCCUAAAAGAUGCUGCAGUGGUGUCCAAGUAAUAAGUGAAAAUGUGAAGCAUACUGAACUUUCUGUUCAGAUUGUUCUGGAUGCAGUCUGUGGUGGGACAAGCUUGGAACGUGUGUUUUCCAACCAGGAUUCAUGUUAGGCUUAGUACCAGCAGUUGGGAAAAGCUGUUCAGGGAAAGCGAGCUUGACAAAUUGCUGGCAGCCCAUGAGGCUUUUCUAGCUUACUCUACAAGUCCAUCUGGGGGACCAAGAGGAGUUUUUGCCGAGCUGGGAGAGCCUGGUGGAGAGUGGACACGCUGACCGAGAUGGAGAGCAGCAGGUGCAGAGAGGAGCUCUGUGAAGUGGACCUGGAAGGGACCAGGACUGAUGCAGUGCCCCCUGGGGAAACCCCUCUGAAGGGUGGAUUUGUGGCCAGCUAGUGGCUUCCUUGUGAAGAGGGCUUGGCACUAACUCUGUGGAGUGAUUAGGGGUAGAUCCCACAAGGGCUUACAUUCUUUGGUACAAAGAGCAUGAUGUGGUUAAUGUGAGGUGUUUCUAAUACAUGCUGUGUCGCAAGAGGUGCGUCUUGCCUGUUGUGCUGAUUAUACAGAAGAUAACCUGGCUCACCAUCAAAGCUGGUGCUAAUGCACAACAGGAAGAAUCAUCUCCUGUGGCUGUGUCUAGUGUUUUGCACAGUGAAAAUUGUGUGGCCCACUCUACUGCAUCAGCCACGAAUAAGGGCAUGCAGGUCUCUGGCACUUGCUGAGAGCUGAAGUGAUCAUCCAUGAGCUCACAAGAUGCACAUGUGGAGUUUCCUCCUGAGGCAUGACCAGAUCACCUGCUCAUCAGCAGAGUUCUUUAGUCUGCAGGGGCUCACCUUUCAGAAGCUGGGGAAACAUCUUCAGCGCUGAUCUGUGUGAAGCAAUUGAUUCUUGUUUGUAGCCAGAAUAGCCUGGCAAGGACUAAAAUAGUACUUAGUUGGAAUCAGUCCAUGGUCAUCAAUACCAGUCCUUGCCAGUUUUCCCAGCUGUGUGGACAGUAGACCUUCAGCUGUUCUUGCUUGAUUUCAGGGCAGUAGUGCAUUGUCUUUUGGAAGCAAAAGGCAUUCUUGCCCAUCUUUUCUCAUUUGUGAUGUGAUGGCCGAGGAAAUAAG